rnacentral:lncRNA from 1 species
GAGGACCCUCCUUUUCCAAAAGAAAACUACUUUGUAUUAAAUCAGAUGUGAACAGUUCAAGGGAGAUGAAAUCCCUGCCAAAACAGAAGUGAAAGGAGGUAGAUCUCCUCUCCAAAAAAAGCAGAAUGAGAAGGAGGUGGGGCACCUCUCAAAACCAAUGAGACAGGAGGUGAAGCACCUCUCAAGAAAACAGAAGAGUUUUGUCUGCCAAAAUUAGCUAAGUUGUGUGUAGAGUGUUGGAGUUUCUGCUGAUAUGGGACCAUCGGAUAACACUGAUCGCCUUGGCAUAAUAGGAAAUGUCAUUGCAGAGGGAUGCUACUGUUCUGUGAAGGUGUCACUGCUCCAAAGCUUCUGUUCUUCCAAGUGUCUGUCCUUUUUCACCUGGUGAAAGAUAAGUUUGCUAUGUAUGUAAAAACUUUCUGACAUCUAAAGAUCAUAGAAAAGCAGAUAUUGGUUUGAUAUAUAUGGAACUAAAUAAACUUCAAAGCAAACGCCAGAUCAAGAUUCAGAAUGGCCUCAUGAAACCUACUCAUUCUGCAAUUUGACAAGGUGUAUACUGUAUGAUUCUAGUUCAUGUCAGCAUCAGGUCAUUAUGCUUGUAGAAGAUAAGGUGCUACGCUGUGUUAUCUACAGACAGGAGCUCAACUCCUCGCGAGUCGCGUGGCCAAACCCAAAGAGUGAUGAUGCACACAAGGGAUAAUAUGAAACCUAUGGGACCUGAAGAACCUCCAUUGUCAAAUGAUGGAAUCAUUCCAACAAACUAGUGGAUCCACCGUUUUGUGGCCUUGGGCUGGAUUCCACUGAUUCUAGUAAUGCACAUGAAAGAAGACAAUAAUAAUGAAAUCAUAAUGGAGGUUGUUGACCUUUUCUUGUCACCAACUUUGAAAACAGAGCUUCAAUUAUAUCUUCAGCUAGACUAGGAUUUUUCUGCACUAUGUUCAUAGUUGCCCUCUAACUAUAUCUGCAGCAAAUUUACAGAUCAAUUUCACAUCCUUAUCUCAGAUGUAAGUUGAUAUGGAGAAUCAAGUUCCAAAAACCAGAAUCUCCAUGGAAGUUUGAGGGGAGACUGGAAAUCAUAGGAUUUCAGUAGCCUACAUACAUUAUCUAUUGCCAAUUUCAUUUAACUAGAUGUUAGCACAUCGGUCUGCUAGUGUAGUGAUGAUGCACAUGGAUGAUCACUGAAGCAUCACAGCUUCAUGUGACCAGAAAUCUUAUCAUUCAGCAUCAGUCGAAAAAUUUUGAUGCAGAAUGUCAUAAUAAAAAUCCAUGAAGUACUGAACGAAUAGAGAAACAGAAGUCUUAGUUUGUGAAAAAAGGAAAUUCCAAUUUUUCCCUCUACAUUCAUUAGAAGGGCAUGAGGAAAUUUAAAUAUGGACUAAUUCACAUAGGACAGAAUCUUCAUGGCAAGUAUUUUCAUCUCGAUGAUCCACAACAACAUAUUAAAUAUGGUUUUAUCUUUUAAAUUUAUGCAUGUAUUGUAGCAUCUUUCAUCAGAAUAUAUACACUAUAAACCUCAGCAUAGACUAUUAUAAGGCCCCUGUUUCAGAUGAACUAUUGUCCUAGAUGGUAGGUACACAUCUCCCAUUUUUUUAUUCAUCCUUUGGGAUAAUCAGAAAGUAAUAGAUAGAAGCUAUAAACAAAGUUUAUGCCCUAAAUGUCAUUCUUUGAAACAAUGCUUCUAAACAAAAUUGCAUCUAGAAAACUUGCAAUGGAGUUUUGAUGCAUAUCACACUUGAAAAUGGAUUUAGGAACUUUCAAGAAAGCAAGAAAUGGUUGACCUGAAUAGCCCCUAGAAAGAUGUUGGCAAACUGAAGUACAUUAGCAGCCAAAAAGCAUGAGAAAUUUGUAAUGGUGCUAAAGUGUUUCCAAUGGACUGACUGAAAUUGAACGAUGUAUUUAUUUGGCAGUACCCAUCGAACCUCUAUAGCAUUCUGAAAGGAAGCUCAAAUUUUUCUCCCCCUUUGGUUGGAUAUUAGUGAAAUAAAAUAUCAAGACAUGAUGAUUGAUGUUUGUUACAUCUAAAAUAAUUUUUGUCGGAUGCCAAAAAUCAGAAUUCAUAUAGGGAGGCUGAAAUUAUUAGGUGUAUUGUCCUAUAUUUCAAGCCUUUUUCUCCAGUGAGAUCUCAAUUUAGUGGUCAACAUCCACAGGAAUGAGGCUUUGGAGCUUACUAGUUUGAUUCUUCAACUUUACAGAGCAGCUUUCUUGCCAUUGUUGUUGAGCACCAAACAAACAGACUAUAUAAUGUUCUACAGCUUCUGAUCCUUGAAAAUGGAAAGGGCAACAUGGCAUGCAGCAACCAUAAGAUCCUUCUGGAUCCAAGAAGACAAGCGGUGCCUUUCAUGUACCAGUUGAUAUUUGAGUCGCCGCUUGCCAUAAAGCGUACGCAGAAGUUAAGAAGCUGAAGUAACAUGAAUUCUACAACAUGCAGAAUGUUUGAAUUUUACGAUUUUUUUCUUAAAGUGAUCAUAUAGGAUAUUUAACUCAAUGUCUUUUACUUUUUCCAGAUUGGAAGAUACUCUAAAGAAAUUUUCAGAAAUUAUAGAACAACUAUCAUCCAAAAGAGAAGAACUAGACUUCAGGUAACAUGGUCUGCUUCUGGUUGAUAACGGUCCCUUCUAAGAUGGCCCUCUUUCUUUGGGAUUGUGGUCCAUUUCUCAGCUAACUUUCUGUUCCCACCACUUCCCUCAUUCUUCUGCAAGCAUUACAUUUGUGGCAUAUAAUGUCUGACUUAAUAGCUUCUAAUCGACCAGUUGUACUAGAAACAGUCGAUGUCAAAGAAAAAUCAUGUUAAAAGAACUAAUCACAUAGAAAAACAUUGGAAGAUCUAAUUUACAAUUAGGAAACAAAACUAGGCACGAGUUGUUUUAAGAUUUUAAAUCCAAGUUGAUGUGCUUUAUAGUUCUAAUUUCAUUUUGAUAAGAAAGUUGUUCCUGGGCAACAAUCAGUUUAAGCUGAAAACUCAUGAAUCAAUCUGACUAAAUCAAUGAUCCGGGAUUGGAACAUACAUGCAGUCACUCUAAUUUAGCAGACAGAGAAACAUUUUAUUUCUGGAACAAUACCUAAACUGAUAACUCAUGCAGUUCCUUGGACUCUAAAGUUACAUCUUUCAAAAGUAUGUUAGAUCAAAAGCUUAGACAAACAUAAACAGAAAGAUAGAGAUCACCUGAGCUCAGGAUGGUAAGAACAGAGUCCCACAUGCAACUUGUAUAAUCCCCUGAACAAGAGCAGUAAUGUUGUCAUUGAUAAAAAUGAGAAGAAAAUGAUUUAAACCUGAGAACUUGUAUCAAGCAAACUUGUUGAUGCAAGGUCACUUUUCUCAGAAUCCAGUGCUAUGAAAACAUUACUCCAUAUAAACAGUAAUUCCAGCAAAACCUCUU